AGCGAACGCUGGCGGCAGGCUUAACACACGCCAGUCGAGCGGGCACUUUCGGGUGUCAGCGGCGGACGGGUGAGUAACGCGUGGGAACGUGCCCUCUGGUUCGGAAUAACUCAGGGAAACUUGAGCUAAUACCGGAUACGCCCUUUUGGGGAAAGGCUUGCUGCCGGAGGAUCGGCCCGCGUCUGAUUAGCUAGUUGGUGAGGUAACGGCUCACCAAGGCGACGAUCAGUAGCUGGUCUGAGAGGAUGAUCAGCCACACUGGGACUGAGACACGGCCCAGACUCCUACGGGAGGCAGCAGUGGGGAAUAUUGGACAAUGGGCGCAAGCCUGAUCCAGCCAUGCCGCGUGAGUGAUGAAGGCCUUAGGGUUGUAAAGCUCUUUUAUCCGGGACGAUAAUGACGGUACCGGAGGAAUAAGCCCCGGCUAACUUCGUG
rnacentral:rRNA from 1 species